rnacentral:rRNA from 1 species
GAUGAACGCUGGCGGCGUGCCUAAUACAUGCAAGUCGAGCGAACAGACGAGGAGCUUGCUCCUCUGACGUUAGCGGCGGACGGGUGAGUAACACGUGGAUAACCUACCUAUAAGACUGGGAUAACUUCGGGAAACCGGAGCUAAUACCGGAUAAUAUAUUGAACCGCAUGGUUCAAUAGUGAAAGACGGCUUUGCUGUCACUUAUAGAUGGAUCCGCGCCGCAUUAGCUAGUUGGUAAGGUAACGGCUUACCAAGGCAACGAUGCGUAGCCGACCUGAGAGGGUGAUCGGCCACACUGGAACUGAGACACGGUCCAGACUCCGACGGGAGGCAGCAGUAGGGAAUCUUCCGCAAUGGGCGAAAGCUUGACGGAGCAACGCCGCGUGAGUGAUGAAGGUCUUCGGAUCGUAAAACUCUGUUAUUAGGGAAGAACAAAUGUGUAAGUAACUAUGCACGUCUUGACGGUACCUAAUCAGAAAGCCACGGCUAACUACGU